GACAGUGUGGCCUAGUGGUCUGAAUGCUGGACUAUGACUCUGGAAACCAAGGUUCGAUUCCCAGCUCAGCCA